GACGAACGUUGGCGGCGUGCUUAAUACAUGCAAGUCAACUGAAGCAGUGGUAGCAAUAUCGCUGUGGAGGUGGCGCACGGGUGAGUAACACGUAGGUAAUCUGCCUUCAGGUCUGGCAUAACUCCGGGAAACCGGGGCUAAUAGCAGAUGAUGCAGCGGCUCGACAUCGAGACAGUUGUUAAAGCUAUGGCGCCUGAAGAUGAGCCUGCGUCUGAUUAGCUAGUUGGCGGGGUAACGGCCCACCAAGGCAACGAUCAGUAGCUGGUCUGAGAGGAUGAUCAGCCACACUGGAACUGAGACACGGUCCAGACUCCUACGGGAGGCAGCAGUAAGGAAUAUUGCUCAAUGGGAGAAAUCCUGAAGCAGCAUCGCCGCGUGAGGGACGAAGGGCUUUUGCUUGUAAACCUCUGUAGUGAGAGAAAAAAAUCCCAAUCUUUGGGACAUGAUGGUAUCUCAAAAGUAAGCCCCGGCUAACUACGUG
rnacentral:rRNA from 1 species